UGGACGUUUAGUGCUGUAAAUUUUCUUUUAAUCCUGACUUAGCUGUGUCCCAGAGAUUCUGAGAAAAGAGGCAGAACAUUAUAGAAAAUGGAAAUGAAGUGACUGAAGACAACCCUUGGUGUAAGUGCCCACUGAGAACACAGGAAGAAAGUGACUUCAGAGUCCACCUGGUACAAAUGGCCACUGAGAGUCCCUGGUGUUCAGAGAUCUGGCUCCUGGAGUUUGGUUAUGAAGAAGGCAGAGGCAACUUUGAAGAAAAGACACUGAACUUUCUCAGUACAAUAUGAAGUCCUGAAAUCAUUAUGAAAUAGAAUUCUUUGCAAUUUCUAAAGUGGUUAGGAAAAUCCUCUUCUUUGUACUUAAGAGUUCACAUGUACACAUGCUCAUGUAUAUAAGUGUGCACAGGCACAUGUGCUAGCAUCUUUUUCUGCAUUUAUGCAUACAUGUUUGCAAAUCCCCCUUUUGGAUCACUCACCAAAAGGAACAGAAUGGAUCAUCCAUACUGGCCCAGGACUGGACCAGACUAUAUAAAUUCAAGGGUUUAUAAUGAUCAAUUCCUGUUCUUGUGAAGCACCAAGGCAUUUCUCUAGACUUAGUUACUCAGGCGGGAAAGAAAUACUCAUGACGGGUGUGGCUGACUGAAUGUAUGAUCACAAUGCUUCUCUCUCCUGUGGUAGCAUACACAUCCACACUCUAGCUGUGACCUCAUGGUAUGUGAAGUGUGCUUUCCAGUCCUUGCACUUUGAACUUGGCCAUGUGACAUACUUUGGCUACAGAGCUGUUCGUAGACAUAGGAAGGCAGAGACUUGAAAUAUGUAGGUGUGGCAGACCUUGCCCUCUUGCAUUUCUGUUAUUGCCAUGAGAAGAACAUGCUCCAGGUAGACCAUUCUUCCAAGGAGGCUGAGAGACCAGUGGAGUAGACCUGGGUCCAGCUUAGUUUGGAGCCAAGCCCCAAAUGCCAUGCAGACUUAUGAAGAUGAAUACAUUACUAUUGUUAAACCACUAAGUUUUAGGGUAGUUUGUUACAAAGAAUUAUUGCAACAAUAGCUGACAAAUACAAUGGGGGAGGCAGUGAAUCCUGCACUGAGACCAAUUUCUGCAGGUAAGAAGGUGAAAAGAAGUGAAAAUAACUAUAUCCAAGACAGAAGAAUAGACAACAGAAAGCCAGGUUAGGAACAGAUGCAUGCGUAUGAGGAGACCCCCGAAAGCAGCAUUAAUUUUUGGAGUUUCUGCUUUAAUUAGCCCAUCCUUUCAGCAAAGUUCGAUCUGCACAUGCAGUCUUGUGUGGUGGAUAUAGAGAAUAAAGCCUGGUUGGAAGCUGUGGGUGAAGAGCAGCCUCCUACUUAGGGGCUGUGUCUAGGAGUUCCAUGCAGUGACUACAGCGAAGUGGCCAUGCCCCACAGUCAAGUUGCAAACAUCUAAGAUGAGUUUGCUAUGGCCAGGAAGAAUUUUCUAGUACAUCAUAAAGGAGAAAUUCAAGGUCUCUGAAGUGGCGGGGGAUUGCUGGGAGUGAUAAUGGACUCUCAAGUAGCACUUCAGUGUAAAGAAUCUCUGAUAUAAACCAUGCACAUGUAAACAAAUUAUAGGCAUAUAGAAAAAUUAUGAAUUUCACAAAAUCCACAAUUUAUCAAACAUACUAAGUCCAAAGUGCCAUGUUCCUCCAAUUUUAGUAUACAUAAGAGUCUCCUAAGGUGUUUAUUAAAACUGCAGAUUCCUGGGCCCCAUUCCCUGAACUUUUGAUUAAGUCAGUCCAGGGCCACACUUUAAGAAACAUUGAUAAGCUGCUUCCUUGCUAUGGUUACAACAACCCCUUGUCUUUCAUGUAGGAAUUUGGGUAUUUCAGGCCCAUUUUACACAAGAUCCAACUAUAAUUGUCCUUUAAAACGUUGAAAUAGCCACCAGAAGACCAGGCUUAUUGCUAUGUGCUCUGCAUUUCUAAAGCAGAACCUCCUGAAUUCCCCUUUCUAUCCUUGUUAUUCAAACAACUUCUAGUGCUUAAAAUGCACCCAAAACUCCUUAUUGAUAUGUCAUGUGUCACAUCAAACCAAGCUACAUUUAUUUAAGUUUUUGUGUUUGUGUUGUCACUUCACGGGCUAAAAUCUCUGAAAUUUCAGUUUUUAAACAAAUAAAAUCUAUUUUCACA